GCUGGCGGCAUGCCUAACACAUGCAAGUCGAACGCUCACCGGGCUUCGGUCCGGUGGGAGUGGCGCACGGGUGAGUAGCGCGUGGGAACCUGCCCUGUUGUGUGGGAUAACCGAGGGAAACUUCGGCUAAUACCGCAUACGCCGGGAAACCGGGAAAGAUUUAUCGCAGCAGGAGGGGCCCGCGUCGGAUUAGCUAGUUGGCGGGGUAACGGCCCACCAAGGCUCCGAUCCGUAGCUGGUCUGAGAGGAUGAUCAGCCACACUGGGACUGAGACACGGCCCAGACUCCUACGGGAGGCAGCAGUGGGGAAUAUUGGACAAUGGGCGCAAGCCUGAUCCAGCAAUGCCGCGUGAGUGAUGAAGGCCUUAGGGUUGUAAAGCUCUUUCGCCCGCGACGAUGAUGACGGUAGCGGGAGAAGAAGCCCCGGCUAACUUCGUGCCAGCAGCCGCGGUAAUACGAAGGGGGCGAGCGUUGUUCGGAUUUACUGGGCGUAAAGGGCGCGUAGGCGGCCCUCCUUGUCGCGUGUGAAAGCCCCGGGCUCAACCUGGGAAUUGCGCGCGAAAC
rnacentral:rRNA from 1 species